rnacentral:rRNA from 1 species
CAGAGGGGGCAAGCGUUGUUCGGAAUUACUGGGCGUAAAGGGCGCGUAGGCGGCCUGCUAAGUCGAACGUGAAAUCCCUGGGCUCAACCCAGGAACUGCGUCCGAUACUGGUUGGCUUGAAUUCGGGAGAGGGAUGUGGAAUUCCAGGUGUAGCGGUGAAAUGCGUAGAUAUCUGGAGGAACACCGGUGGCGAAGGCGGCAUCCUGGACCGAUAUUGACGCUGAUGCGCGAAAGCCAGGGGAGCAAACGGGAUUAGAUACCCCGGUAGUCCUGGCCCUAAACGAUGAAUGCUUGGUGUGGCGGGUAUCGAUCCCUGCCGUGCCGAAGCUAACGCAUUAAGCAUUCCGCCUGGGGAUACGGUCGCAAGGCUG